GACGAACGCUGGCGGCGUGCUUAACACAUGCAAGUCGAACGGAAAGGCCCCUUUGGGGGUACUCGAGUGGCGAACGGGUGAGUAACACGUGAGUAACCUGCCCUUGACUUCGGGAUAACUUCAGGAAACUGGGGCUAAUACCGGAUAGGAAUCCUUGCUGCAUGGUGGGGGUUGGAAAGCUUCGGCGGUUUUGGAUGGACUCGCGGCUUAUCAGCUUGUUGGUGGGGUAGUGGCUUACCAAGGCUUUGACGGGUAGCCGGCCUGAGAGGGCGACCGGCCACAUUGGGACUGAGAUACGGCCCAGACUCCUACGGGAGGCAGCAGGGGGGAAUAUUGCACAAUGGGCGGAAGCCUGAUGCAGCAACGCCGCGUGCGGGAUGACGGCCUUCGGGUUGUAAACCGCUUUCAGCAGGGGCGAAGCUUGUGGUGACGGUACCUGCAGAAGAGGCACCGGCUAACUACGUG
rnacentral:rRNA from 1 species